CCUGUCCUCUGUGGGGUGGAGUCCGGGGACCUGUGACUGAGAAGAGGCCAGGAAUCUGGCUGCGGCAGUAGGGUAGCAGACAUGCCCCCUGGUACCCUCCCUGCCUGGUCUGGACCUUGCCCGACCUGCGGAUCCCGAAGCCCGGAGCGGUGGGAUAAUCGUCAAGACUCCGAGGGCGAGCAGCCGAACCCGCCGGAAUCAGCUUAUGUGAAGAGUUUCCUUGGAAGGAGAGCUGGUUGGUUACACGGCACGUGCAGGAGCCCCCAGUCCCAGGGGUCUGGGAAGAGCAGAACGUACGUGCUGGAAGAGGUUUUCUAGAGCUCCACAUUGGCAAAGGAGAAGGCUGAGGCUAUUCCAGCCCUCGUGGUCUGUUGCCUCGCAGCUGGCAGGAGAGGAGCUGGGGUGCGGCUCCCUCCUCUGGACGGGGCCGCAGGCGAACAUCGCCCUGAAUUCAGCCAAGCUGGAGGACAGAAGCAGAGCAAGGACGCGCUACGGAGAAACAACCUCAACCCUACUCGUCUUACACGACCAGCUCCGGCAGGUGCUUUUUGGUGAAGACUUUCUUGAUCUCUGUAGACAGAAGCGACUGUUCCAAUCCGUGAUCAUUAAAUCCGACACGGUGCCGUGCGCGCCACAGUGUGUGUGUGAAGGAGGCACACGCAGGUGCGACCUCUGCCCGCCAUCCGCGGGCCCAGGUGUGCUGGCUCGAGCCCCGCAUCUCUGCCUCGCGGCCGACCUGCCGGCUCCCCAGCUUGGGGGUGGC